AAGCGUUUUCUUGGGCUCGCGGCCGGUAGAAGUUCUUUGGAACAGGACAUCAUAGAGGGUGACAAUCCCGUCCGUGACCGGUCGUGCGUUCAUCUACGAUACGCUUUCAAAGAGUCGAGUUGUUUGGGAUUGCAGCUCCAAAUGGGUGGUAAACAUCACCUAAGGCUAAAUAUUGGCGAGAGACCGAUAGCGAACAAGUACCGUGAGGGAAAGAUGAAAAGAACUUUGAAAAGAGAGUUAAACAGUACGUGAAAUUGUUGAAAGGGAAACGAUUGAAGUCAGUCGUGCUGGCGCGAAAUCAACCACCUCGUCUUGAGGUCACAUGGCGCGGCGAGCCUCAAAACCGUCACGAAGCGUGAACUCUUGACGAGAAGGUGCACUUUCGUGUCCGCUGGUUAACAUCAAUUUCGACCGUCAUAAAAAGGCUGGAGGGAUGUGGCUCCUUCGGGAGUGUUAUAACCUUUAGCGGAAUGUGGUGUUCGGGAUUGAGGAUUGCAACGAAUACCUUCAGGGCUGUUCCACCUGGCUUCUCAUUGGUAUCCUGGUGACGACAGCUUGC
rnacentral:rRNA from 1 species